CAGAAAACUCCAGAAAGAUGAGCUCUGGUAGCACAGCUCCAGGGUACAACAGCAAUAGAAAGCAGAGAUUGCUGGAAUUUGCUUUAAGUAAUCAAUUUGGAAAACAUCUGUGAUUUUAACAGCUGGUUCAAUCAAGCAGGACUACACAAGCACAGCAUGGUGCAAGGGGAAUGAUUUUAACUUUUUCUCUGUAAUGUGUGGAAGGCAUCAGUCAAAGCAGCACUACGAUGAAAUUCACCUGUGUGGUUGGGACCGGGUCCCACUAUGGCUUCUGCAUAUCAUGUCUGGAGAGAGUCUGAUGCCUCUGCUCCUCCAUCCUUUCUCAUCUGGGUGCUUGUGUGGGACCUUGGUGACAGCAGACAGAAUUGGAGUACAUUCCAGACUUGUGAAUGGGAUUCCCUACAGCAGGCGUGGGAGGGAGUUAGGCAUCUUUCUUGUCUUCCGCAGGCAGUGGCUCUGGAAUAUUUUCCUGCAUGACAGUGCUGCUUCAGCAGAAGAGGUUCUGUCUCACAACUGCUGCUGCUUGACUGAUGAAUGGAGGGGACAUGGUAGAAAAAAACACAGGCUUAAGUCUGUAAAAUUCAGUAAAUAAGCAUAC
rnacentral:lncRNA from 1 species